CAGUAGCCGCGGUAAUACGGAGGAUCCGAGCGUUAUCCGGAUUUAUUGGGUUUAAAGGGUGCGUAGGCGGCCUAUUAAGUCAGGGGUGAAAGACGGUAGCUUAACUAUCGCAGUGCCUUUGAUACUGAUGGGCUUGAAUGUACUUGAAGUGGGCGGAAUGUGACAAGUAGCGGUGAAAUGCAUAGAUAUGUCACAGAACACCGAUUGCGAAGGCAGCUCACUAAGGUAUGAUUGACGCUGAGGCACGAAAGCGUGGGGAUCAAACAGGAUUAGAUACCCCUGUAGUCCCUGUCUCUUAUAU
rnacentral:rRNA from 1 species